rnacentral:rRNA from 1 species
GUAGUCGAUGGGAAACAGGUUAAUAUUCCUGUACUUGGUGUUACUGCGAAGGGGGGACGGAGAAGGCUAUGUUGGCCGGGCGACGGUUGUCCCGGUUUAAGCGUGUAGGCUGGUUUUCCAGGCAAAUCCGGAAAACCAAGGCUGAGGCGUGAUGACGAGGCACUACGGUGCUGAAGUGACAAAUGCCCUGCUUCCAGGAAAAGCCUCUAAGCAUCAGGUAACAUCAAAUCGUACCCCAAACCGACACAGGUGGUCAGGUAGAGAAUACCAAGGCGCUUGAGAGAACUCGGGUGAAGGAACUAGGCAAAAUGGUGCCGUAACUUCGGGAGAAGGCACGCUGAUAUGUAGGUGAAGCGACUUGCUCGUGGAGCUGAAAUCAGUCGAAGAUACCAGCUGGCUGCAACUGUUUAUUAAAAACACAGCACUGUGCAAACACGAAAGUGGACGUAUACGGUGUGACGCCUGCCCGGUGCCGGAAGGUUAAUUGAUGGGGUUAGCGGUAACGCGAAGCUCUUGAUCGAAGCCCCGGUAAACGGCGGCCGUAACUAUAACGGUCCUAAGGUAGCGAAAUUCCUUGUCGGGUAAGUUCCGACCUGCACGAAUGGCGUAAUGAUGGCCAGGCUGUCUCCACCCGAGACUCAGUGAAAUUGAACUCGCUGUGAAGAUGCAGUGUACCCGCGGCAAGACGGAAAGACCCCGUGAACCUUUACUAUAGCUUGACACUGAACAUUGAGCCUUGAUGUGUAGGAUAGGUGGGAGGCUUUGAAGUGUGGACGCCAGUCUGCAUGGAGCCGACCUUGAAAUACCACCCUUUAAUGUUUGAUGUUCUAACGUUGGCCCGUAAUCCGGGUUGCGGACAGUGUCUGGUGGGUAGUUUGACUGGGGCGGUCUCCUCCUAAAGAGUAACGGAGGAGCACGAAGGUUGGCUAAUCCUGGUCGGACAUCAGGAGGUUAGUGCAAUGGCAUAAGCCAGCUUGACUGCGAGCGUGACGGCGCGAGCAGGUGCGAAAGCAGGUCAUAGUGAUCCGGUGGUUCUGAAUGGAAGGGCCAUCGCUCAACGGAUAAAAGGUACUCCGGGGAUAACAGGCUGAUACCGCCCAAGAGUUCAUAUCGACGGCGGUGUUUGGCACCUCGAUGUCGGCUCAUCACAUCCUGGGGCUGAAGUAGGUCCCAAGGGUAUGGCUGUUCGCCAUUUAAAGUGGUACGCGAGCUGGGUUUAGAACGUCGU